AUUCUACUUUAGCUUCCAGGAUUAAAAAAAAAAAAAAAAAAGCAUUUAUUAUACUAACGCCACUAAAAUCUUGAUUCUAAAAUAUAGAUUAAUUACCUUCUUAACAUGAAAUUUGCGUUGGAAUCCAAAUUUAAUGAUUCCAAAUAUUUCCCCAUUUACAUUUUUCCAUUGUGGUGUUUCUGUAGGAGCUGAAUAUAACAUUUAAUGUGAUACUAGUAAUAAUAGUUAACAAAGGCUGCUUAUGUAUAGUCCAGUGCUAUACUCAGCACUUCACAUAUGUUAGCUUUUAAAAUCCUUACAACAAUACUAUGAAGUAUGUGUUAUAAUUAUCAUCCCAUUUUACAGAUAAGAAAACAAUAGCACAAGAAGUUAUAUAACUUGGUCAAGGUUAUAGCUAUUAAUAAACAGAGACAAGAUUUAUACCAGACAACUCAAUCUAAAGCCUAUGUUCUCAAUUACUAGGAAAAUCAGCUCACUAUUGUAGUGACGGUACAGUGAUUUGAGCCACAAAAUCCAACAUCAAGAUUUCCUUUAAUAUCAGUGUCACGUUAUCCGAUGGUUUGCUCAAGUGUUGGUUUUUAAGUUUUUAAUCACAGGCAAGUAUGUAAAUAAUAAUUUUUACCUGGGAAAAUCAUAUUUUACUUGAAUAUAAAUUUGUUUAUUUAAAAAUAGAAGACAUCUGGUUCAUUCAUCAACAAAAUGCUAUGAGAAACCAUAUAAGAUUAUGUUCAUUUACGACUUCCUGUCGGCUUUAUUUUGUAUGUGAUGUAAGAAGUGAUUAAUGAGUCAUUUCAGAAAUGAAGUAUCUUUAUAUCAAAGAUGAAUGUUUAAAAAUACUGGAAACGAAAGUCUUAAGGCCAGUGUUAGGACCUACAGGAUGAAUACACCUAGGCACAUAGUCCUGUUUGUCCUACAGCAACUGGCACCUACCAUUCAAACUUGUCUUCAAUCUCAAUGAUUGUUUCAUUUUUCUUUUGCCUUCCCGGGAUAAUUUUUUCCUCAACCUUCAGGCAACUAAGUCUUUUACCUUUUCUUUCCUCUCAAAUAUUAUCUUCCCUUGUCUACCUCUCUGGCCAUCCUUCCAUAAGCAGGACAGUGAAUGAGCAAAAACACAGAUGUAUGCUCUAAAAGAGCUUAUAAUUUCAUUGUUGAGGAAGUCCAUCAUACAAAAAAUAUAAACCUGCAACCAUGAUAAGUGCUUCGACGACAAGAUACAAGGUGUUAUGAGGGUCUAAAAUGAAAAGGUUAAGGAAGGCUUCCUGACCAAGUGCUAUUUGAACUGAAAGAUGAGUAUUAAUCAAAAAAAAAAAAAAGAUGAGUAUUAAUCUAACAAAGAGAGGGAUAGAAGGGACCAGCAGACACAGGGAGCAGCAUGUGAAGAAAUAUGUUCGGAAGGAGCAUGGUGAGAAUGAGGUGUGGACAAAAUGAGAGAAAGCUGGAUUGGAGAAAUUGAGGAACACUGUGAGGUGAGGCUGCAGAGGCAGAAGGAUCUGACCAAGAGUGACCUCAUAGACCAUGGUCAGGAGUUUUGUUCAUCCCAAGGGAAAACCAUGGGAAAGUUUGUUUCUGGAACAUUGUGUCAUUUUAGAUGAUGUAUAAUGCUCAUUCUUACCACAACCAUCACCAUCAAGGGUAUCUAGACUACUCUGUAUAUUU